UCUUUGUGAAGCAAGAGAGAGGUGAGAGGAGAGAUGAGAAGCAGAGAGAAAAAGGAAAGAAAGAUAGUGAGACUGAAAAAUAGGAAAGAAAUGAAAAAAAAAAGAAAAAGAAAAAAAUGGUAGAGCAAGAAGAGAGAAAAAAAAUGGGACAGAAAAGCAAAGCAAGAGAGUAACAGAGAUUUAUCAUUAACCAAGAGACCUACGGAUCAGGACCAGAUGUGUAUUGAACCUUACUGAGAGCCCAAUAUGUUUGGUAAACAUUGGUGAGAGCAACAGGGGUAAGGGAUAAUAUGGCAUCCUUGCUGUUUGAUGAUGGUCUUGGAGUGAAAGAGUACAAACUUGUUUAGAUAUACUUCGACAAUACAAAGUGUGUUAUACAUUCAUUUAACAGUACAGACUUGCUGUAGGUCACAUUCUUCAAAUAACUACAGGUUGCUUGACUACCUAGAAUCAACAAUGACACUUGAUUGUUUGUUUUAUCAGCCACAAGGGUGACAGUUGAAGGCAACAUGACAACAACAAAUUACAAAAAUAUGUAUAGAGUUAUAUUAUAGAAGCAAGCGUGAGGAAACAGAAAGGAAGACCAAUAGGGAAACAACCAACAAGGGCCAGAUCAGAGAACCUACACAACCUUUACUGCCAAGAACAGGUACCUUCUCACAGUCAUAGUCCACAGAAAUCAUCAUCAACAUCAUCAUAGUUAUAAUGUCCACUUUUCCAUGCUUACAUGGAGUGAAGGUGUACAAUCGUAAGGUCAUCAGUUCGAUUUCUGGCAGCACAUUGUGUCCUUGAGCAAGACACUUUAUUUCACAUUGCUCAAGUCCACUCAGCUGGCAAAAAUGAGUUGUACCUGUAAUUCAAAGGACUAGCCUUGUCACAUUCUGUGUCAAGCUGAAUCUCUCUGAGAACUAAGUUAAGAGAACAUGUGUCUGUGGAGUGCUCAGCCACUUGCACAUUAAUUUCACAAGCAGGUUGUUCCGUGCAUCAGAUCAACUGGAAUGGUCAUCAUCGUAACUAAGCCAGUUCAUGGAGUGGAUGAAAUUCUUUUCCAUGCAGAUUUUCUAUGUCCAGUUACUCUCCCUGUCAUUAACACUCAUUUACUUCCGAGUAAGAUAGUCCCCUAUCGUCAGAUAUGUUUUUGCAGAAUCUUGGAAAUGAAUAACACUGAUAGUAUAACAGUGACCCUAAUAAGACUUUGCUUAUAUGCUGAUGACCUUGCUCUUAUUGCAGAAUCUUUAGCAGUAUUGGAGAAGAAAUUCCAGGUACGGAAACAAAACCUUGAAUCAAAGGGCCUUAAAGUUACCCAAGCAAAGACCAAAGUUGUUAGUAAGAAAGAGGAUAAAACUCUCUUUCCGUCAGGUAAAUGGCCCUGUUCAAUAUAUGAGAAAGGAGUUGGAAGAAAUUCCAUUCGCUGUACCCAGUGUAAACUAUGGACACACAAGAGGUGCAGUGGAAUCACAAGUAGAUUAACAGAUAAAGUUGUCUAUAUAUGUGGCAGAUGUGCUGGAAUAAUAAGCACUAAGAGCACAUGCGACUUAGAUUCUCUCAAAUGUCCAGGAGCCUCUCUUGCCAUUGUAGAUAGUUUCCGUUACCUAGAUGACCAAAUUAGCAAUGGUGGCAGAUGCUCUGAAAGUAUUGUUUCUAGAAUAAGAAUUGGGUGGAGGAAGUUCAGAGAGUUAUUACCUCUGUUGGCAACAAAAGGACUAUUUCUCAGAGUGAAAGAUAGGCUGUAUGAUGCUUGUGUGCAAACGGCUAUACUCCUUGAUAGUGAGACAUGGGCUAAUGAUUGAAACAAGUAAAAGAUAAAAGAUACAAAUCUCCCACAACAAUAAGCCUGUUCUACCCGAAAACAAAACAGGAACUCGCCACCAAAGAAAAGUGCACUCGACAGAAGGAAAAACCAGUAGCGCCAGCAGAGAGCUCCUUCAAAUGCAGUCGCUGUAUGCAUGACUGCCACUCCCAUGUGGGCCUGUGCAGCCACAACAGAUGCUGCACCACCAUCAGCAGCUGACACGAUUUCUUUAGGGACAGAUCCAUGACAUCUCAAGACCGAUGGAUACCUACUACUACUCAUGAAGGGUACUUGCUUUGACUUUGCAAGCUGCAAGGUGACCUCCAAUAGUGCUGGUGCAAAAAAAAAAAAAAACUCAAAACACACUGUAACUGAUUAGCAAUCAAUUCAAACAAAAACAAUGCAGGGUUUGAAGGAAUUUUUUGGCUUUGCUAAUGGCAAAGCAACCCCUAUAGUGUCAGUGCCAUGAAAAAUUGCAUCCAGUACACUCAGUGAAAUGGUAUGGUUGCUAUUAGGAAGGACCAUUGAAGGAAGGCCCAUCAAAACCAUGAUGAAAAUGUAAAAAAAUUAGAUUGAAUCAAGAUGUAAUCCUCCAACCAUUGAAUCCUGUUGAACUGUCCUACCUAUACCAGCAUGGAGAACAGACAUAAAAUGAUGAUAAAUAAACAUGUUUUAA